UUUUUCCCCAGUGAGGCUUGCUUCUGGGCUGUCUACUUGCUUUGGCCUUGAUUCCCUUCCCUGUUGUUAGCCUUAGCUAUUUAUCCUUAUCCCACAAGGAUGAAGUUAAGGGGGCAUGGGAGACCUGAGGAUUAGCGGUCUUCACCCUUUGUCCAUGUGGUCCAGAUGAGUAUUGGUUUAGUUUGUUCCAGAUCCUAUAAGGCUUAGAACUCAGAUUAACUAUCAAGUCGUCCUGAGCACCAUUUUCAAGUGGCUUUACAUGUGUGGCCACACUCAUGCCUUUCCACAAAGACAGAUUGCCGGCACAAUCCAGUCUACAGCCCUACAGGCCUUCCCUGCUGGCUUUAGAUCAGAAGCUGGCCGUUCCAGAGUAUCUAUGGCUGUGUACCAAGUGACUCAGUGGCUUCAAGCUCUCUGAGGAUUCGAACUCAGACUCUCAUGCUCAUUUGGCAAACACUGAAGAGUUAUUUCACAGAAGACUCUUGUAAUGUUUCUUCCUGUCAUCUGUCCUGGAAAAGGAUGCUUAUGGAGGCAGAAAGCGAUCCACUGGAGAAUGAUAAUCUAACGGUGACCCAGAUGGAUUAAAGGACGGCGAGGACAGGAUGGAUCUAAAGAAAAUGAGUGCAAGCUAGUGGAAAGGAGCUAAUCCUGGGAAGCAGUUUCUGGAAUGGAAUUUUGUGGCUCAGUCACUCACAGAUGCUUUGGCUCUGAGGACACCAUUACCGGUGAUCCUGGACUGAAUGACAAGUAGGAAGCCUUCGACCAUGAAGAUUCAACUCUAUCUGCUUCCCGACUGCAGAAGCAAUAUGACACGUUGCCUCACGUUCCUGUCACCAGGGCUUCCCUCCAUGAUGGACCAAGCCUUCAAACUGCGAGGAAAAAAAUUGUCUUUACAAGAUUGUGCCAUCAUUCCCCAAAUUUGGUGAGGUGCUCAGAUAGAAUUGAAGCUGACAUCCCAGACCACUGAAUGUGUGGACACUGCAGGGACCAGACAAAACCUGGAUAAGCGUUACAUGUGACGAGAGCCUCAGAUAGCGCUCUGGAGAGCCCAUCGAUGCACCUUGUGACCUGCACACUGAAGUGCAAGCCUGUCUAUUUUGCUUUCUUUGUAAAUUGUGCUUGAAAGUGAGGGCUGCUUGUUUCAGUACCAGCAGCAGAUUUGUAGUGACUAAAGCGUGUAUCCAGUUACUAUGUAUGACAACUUGGAAAUGUAGAGACAACUUCACAUUUUUAACUUUGGGAUGUCAUGCUUGAACAUAAUACUCAGCAACUGAAGAAAUGGCAAGAAAUCUAUAGAAAAAGAUGCCUAAAUACCAAUUAGCAAGUACAUAUGUAGAGUUUUCCCUGUAGAGAUCUACUACUAAUUCCUAUGUGAACUUUACUCUUUGCAAAAGAAUAAAUCCUAAUGCUCC
rnacentral:lncRNA from 1 species